UACGUAGGAUGCAAGCGUUGUCCGGAUUUACUGGGCGUAAAGCGUGCGCAGGCGGUUUUGUAAGCCAGAUGUGAAAUCCCCGGGCUUAACCUGGGAAUGGCAUUUGGGACUGCAAGGCUUGAGUGCGGCAGAGGAGACUGGAAUUCCUGGUGUAGCAGUGAAAUGCGUAGAUAUCAGGAGGAACACCGAUGGCGAAGGCAGGUCUCUGGGCUGACACUGACGCUCAUGCACGAAAGCGUGGGGAGCAAACGAGGAU
rnacentral:rRNA from 1 species